rnacentral:rRNA from 1 species
UUGAACGCUGGCGGCAGGCCUAACACAUGCAAGUCGAGCGGAUGAAGGGAGCUUGCUCCUGGAUUCAGCGGCGGACGGGUGAGUAAUGCCUAGGAAUCUGCCUGGUAGUGGGGGAUAACGUCCGGAAACGGGCGCUAAUACCGCAUACGUCCUGAGGGAGAAAGUGGGGGAUCUUCGGACCUCACGCUAUCAGAUGAGCCUAGGUCGGAUUAGCUAGUUGGUGGGGUAAGGCCUACCAAGGCGACGAUCCGUAACUGGUCUGAGAGGAUGAUCAGUCACACUGGAACUGAGACACGGUCCAGACUCCUACGGGAGGCAGCAGUGGGGAAUAUUGGACAAUGGGCGAAAGCCUGAUCCAGCCAUGCCGCGUGUGUGAAGAAGGUCUUCGGAUUGUAAAGCACUUUAAGUUGGGAGGAAGGGCAGUAAGUUAAUACCUUGCUGUUUUGACGUUACCAACAGAAUAAGCACCGGCUAACUUCGUG